rfam:Neosartorya udagawae DNA, contig:Aud0987, strain: IFM 46973.
GGCAAGUAUAUAAAGAAAUUAUUAUGGAUAAUUAGCUAUAUAUUAAAGAAUAUCUAGUCAAUCUAGUUUCUAAGAGAAAUCAGAUAAUAAACGAAGUGAAUUGAAAUAUCUUAGUAACUUUAGGAAAAGAAAUCAAACGAGAUUGUUAUUUGGUGUCAACUAAAUAACAAAAGCCUAAUAACAAAACUUGUUAAAAGUAAAAUGGAUUAAAAUCUGUUUGAAUAUAGGGGAACCUUCCUCUAAGGCUAAAAAUGAUAUAUAAGCGAUAGUGAAAAGUACCGUGAGGUAAAAUUUGAAAUAGUAAUUUUAUAAGCAGCUCGAGUGAAAUUUAAAUAAAUAAUAAGAGCGUACCUUUUGCAUAAUGGGUCAGCAAGUUAAUUUUAGAUGCAAGCAAUGAUUUUAUGCGUUUUUCGCAUGAAACUAGCUUAGAUAAACCAAUUAUGAAAAAAUGAAUAAGUAUCUAGAAUUAGACCCGAAGGCUAGUGAUCUUACCAUGGUCAGGAUUAUAAAAGUCCGAACGGGUUAUCGUUGUAUAGAUAUCCGAAGAAUUGUGGUAAGUUAGUGAAAGACAAAACUGACUAGUAUAGCUGGUUUUCCGCGAAACCUAUAUUAGUAGGUAAUUUAAUUAACAUCUUAGCAGGUACAGAACUGUGAUCUCGGACAAUAUCUUUUGAUUUUGUCAACAUCGGGGGGUUGUAGUGACUUUACCGGAGAGUAUUUGCACUCGGAAGGGCAAAGAUGAAUGUUGAAUAAUCGGACAUAGUGCGAUAAGGUUGUAUGUCUAAAGGGAAACAGCCCAGAACAAGAGUUAAGGUUCCAAAAU